GAAAAGGGCUUUCUCUAUGAGUAGCACAUGUGGGACAACCCAAUUUCUCUUUGUGUAGAAUUGACAUCGAGAGAUUUUGGAAGCAUAAUUUUUUAUUACCUGGACAACUGGUGAUCAUUGAUCCUUGAAAAACA